rnacentral:rRNA from 1 species
CCGGCGCACGGGUGAGUAACGCGUAUGCAACUUACCUAUCAGAGGGGGAUAACCCGGCGAAAGUCGGACUAAUACCGCAUGAAGCAGGGAUCCCGCAUGGGAAUAUUUGCUAAAGAUUCAUCGCUGAUAGAUAGGCAUGCGUUCCAUUAGGCAGUUGGCGGGGUAACGGCCCACCAAACCGACGAUGGAUAGGGGUUCUGAGAGGAAGGUCCCCCACAUUGGUACUGAGACACGGACCAA